GGAUCUUGUAAUGAUGCGAGGAAGAAUGGAAAUAGUGGAGUUGUGUUUGGAUUGCAACGAAGAAAGUGCAGGCAUUCUUGGCGUGUGGCUAACCUACGAGUUCUGACGAAGUCAACAGCUUUGAUUUAUACAUUGCUUUGAAAUGAUACGGGAGGAUCUGCAAGUCCAGUGCUGCCCCUGGAAGCUGAAUUCAUUUGGUGCCAUAGAGUAUCCCAUGUCAUCUAGCACCAUUUGAAAUCAGUGUUCUUGGGGUGGUCUAUGACGUCACACAAGAAAUCUGAACGCUGUGUGCUUUAUAUAAAUAAAUAAAAAUUGUAAUGCCUCUGA